rnacentral:rRNA from 1 species
GUAGGGAAUAUUGGGCAAUGGAUGCAAGUCUGACCCAGCCAUCCCGCGUGCCGGAAGAAGGCCCUCAGGGUUGUAAACGGCUUUUGACGGUGAAGAACCGACAGGAUGCGUCCUGUUUUGACGGUAGCCGUUGAAUAAGCACCGGCUAACUCCGUGCCAGCAGCCGCGGUAAUACGGAGGGUGCGAGCGUUGUCCGGAUUUAUUGGGUUUAAAGGGUGCGUAGGCUGGAAGGUCAGUCAGCGGUGAAAAGCUAUCGCUUAACGAUAGUCUUGCCGCAGAUACUUCCGUUCUUGGAUGAGGAGGAGGCCACUGGAACGGAUGGUGUAGCGGGGAAAUGCAUAGAGAUCAUCCAGAACACCGAUUGCGAAGGCAGGUGGCUGUACCUUAAUCGACGCUGAUGCACGAAAGCAUGGGGAGCAAACAGGAUUAGAAACCCUAGUAGUCC